GACGAACGCUGGCGGCGUGCCUAAUACAUGCAAGUCGAACGCAGUGGGGACGGGUGAGUAACACGUGGGUAACCUCCCAUCAGAGGGGAUAACCCUUGGCAACAGGUGCUAAACCGAUACUGAUGGAUGGACCCGCGGUGCAUUAGCUGGUUGGUGGGGAAAAGGCUCACCAAGGCCACGAUGCAUAGCCGACCGAGGAGAGGGAUCGGCCAAACUGGGACUGGGACACGGCCCAGACUCCUACGGGGGGCAGCAGUAGGGAAUCUUCGGCAAGGGACGAAAGUCUGACCGAGCAACGCCGCGUGAGUGAAGAAGGUUUUCGGAUCGUAAAACUCUGUUGUUAGAGAAGCGGUAUCUAACCAGAAAGCCACGGCUAACUACGUGCAGCAGCCGCGGUAAUUC
rnacentral:rRNA from 1 species